AUUUAAAAGUAAAAUACUGAAAUUAUUUUACCGUCAUUAAUGCAUACAGUGAUGGGCUCGCUAAUAACCGGCAAAAUAACGAAAAAGAUGGAAAACAUACAUUGUGAAGUAAAGAAUGAAACUAGUAGAUAUGGAAAUUAUCGAUAUAAACGUAUAAAUUAGCAUAUUAUCAUUACAUAGCUUCCCACCUUUAGACGUAUCGGAGGAAUAUGAUAACUGUCACUGCGAUAGGAGAAUUUUAUAAAAUACUCCUGUCACAGACGUCAAAGGUGGGACACUAUGUAAUGUAAUGUUAAUUUAUACGUUUAUAUCGAUCAUUUCCACCUCUACUAGUUUUGUCUUUUUAUUUCACAAUGUAUUGUUUUCCAUCUUUUGCGUUAUUUUAACUAACUUAUAUAUCAAUAUCAGAUUUCUAUUUACAAAAUUAAUUUUAUUUCACAAUAAAUCUAUUAGUGUUUAAUAGUUAAAAAACGACAGUAAAAACAACAUUUCAAGUCAUGCGGUUUUACUACUACUUUUUUUUACUGAUGCCCUAUUAUUUUACCAUCAUUAAAA
rnacentral:lncRNA from 1 species